rnacentral:rRNA from 1 species
GGAGGAUGCGAGCGUUAUCCGGAUUUACUGGGUGUAAAGGGAGCGUAGGUGGCAGGGCAAGUCAGAUGUGAAAACCCGGGGCUCAACUCCGGGAUUGCAUUUGAAACUGUCCGGCUGGAGUGCAGGAGAGGUAAGUGGAAUUCCUAGUGUAGCGGUGAAAUGCAUAGAUAUUAGGAGGAACACCAGUGGCGAAGGCGGCUUACUGGACUGUAACUGACACUGAGGCUCGAAAGCGUGGGGAGCAAA